UGAGCCAGAUUUUGUGGUGCCCUCACAGGUUCUGUGGAAGAUCCCUGCUCCACAUCUCAGUGUCCCUCCCCAGUUCCUGGUGUGAGCACAAAGCCAGGUCUCAUUGUGCUGAACUAGAACGUCAGGUACACAAUUCAAGUACUCAAAAGCUGGGAAAUGAAGAGAUGAAGACUGGACUCCUUUAAUUUAAACACCUGGAUCAGAAAACUCUUCACUGUGCUGCAACCAAAGAGGGAAAAA
rnacentral:lncRNA from 1 species